UACGAAGGGGGCUAGCGUUGCUCGGAAUGACUGGGCGUAAAGGGCGCGUAGGCGGAUGGCACAGUCAGAUGUGAAAUUCCUGGGCUUAACCUGGGGGCUGCAUUUGAUACGUGUGAUCUAGAGUGAGGAAGAGGGUUGUGGAAUUCCCAGUGUAGAGGUGAAAUUCGUAGAUAUUGGGAAGAACACCAGUGGCGAAGGCGGCUCACUGGACCGACACUGACGCUGAGGCGCGAAAGCGUGGGGAGCAAACAGG
rnacentral:rRNA from 1 species